rnacentral:snoRNA from 1 species
AAGACUAUACUUCCAGGGAUCAUUUCUACAGUUUGUGACUAUGGAAGUUUCUCUGAUUAUGUAGAGCACAGCUGCUACUCAGGCAAGUCAAG